rnacentral:rRNA from 1 species
AUAGGUACGUACUCUUGGGACUGGGAUAGCGGCGGGAAACUGCCGGUAAUACCAGAUGACGUUUCCGAACCAAAGGUGUGAAUCCGCCUGAGGAGCGGCCUAUGUCCUAUUAGCUUGUUGGCGAGGUAACGGCUCACCAAGGCAAAGAUGGGUAUGGGGUGUGAGAGCAUGCCCCCACUCACUGGGACUGAGACACUGCCCAGACACCUACGGGUGGCUGCAGUCGAGAAUCUUCGGCAAUGGACGCAAGUCUGACCGAGCGACGCCGCGUGCGGGAUGAAGGCCUUCGGGUUGUAAACCGCUGUCGUAGAGGAGGAAAUUCUGGUGGGUACUCCCAUCAGAUUGACUGAUUCUAGGAGGAAGGACCGGCUAAUCUCGUGCCAGCAGCCGCGGUAAUACGAGAGGUCCAAACGUUAUUCGGAAUCACUGGGCUUACAGAGUUCGUAGGCGGUUCUACAAGUGGGGUGUGAAAGCCCUCGGCUCAACCGAGGAACUGCGCUCCAAACUGUAGAACUA